UAGGGAAUCUUCGGCAAUGGACGAAAGUCUGACCGAGCAACGCCGCGUGAGUGAAGAAGGUUUUCUGAUCGUAAAACUCUGUUGUUAGAGAAGAACAAGGACGUUAGUAACUGAACGUCCCCUGACGGUAUCUAACCAGAAAGCCACGGCUAACUACGUGCCAGCAGCCGCGGUAAUACGUAGGUGGCAAGCGUUGUCCGGAUUUAUUGGGCGUAAAGCGAGCGCAGGCGGUUUCUUAAGUCUGAUGUGAAAGCCCCCGGCUCAACCGGGGAGGGUCAUUGGAAACUGGGAGACUUGAGUGCAGAAGAGGAGAGUGGAAUUCCAUGUGUAGCGGUGAAAUGCGUAGAUAUAUAGGGGAACACCAGUGGCGAAGGCGGCUCUCUGGUCUGUAACUGACGCUGAGGCUCGAAAGCGUGGGGAGCAAACAGG
rnacentral:rRNA from 1 species